rnacentral:rRNA from 1 species
UGGGGAAUUUUGGACAAUGGGCGAAGGCCUGAUCCAGCAAUGCCGCGUGUGCGGAGAAGGCCUUCGGGUUGUAAAGCACUUUUGUCCGGAAAGAAAUCCUUGGCUCUAAUACAGUCGGGGGAUGACGGUACCGGAAGAAUAAGCACCGGCUAACUACGUGCCAGCAGCCGCGGUAAUACGUAGGGUGCAAGCGUUAAUCGGAAUUACUGGGCGUAAAGCGUGCGCAGGCGGUUUGCUAAGACCGAUGUGAAAUCCCCGGGCUCAACCUGGGAACUGCAUUGGUGACUGGCAGGCUAGAGUAUGGCAGAGGGGGGUAGAAUUCCACGUGUAGCAGUGAAAUGCGUAGAGAUGUGGAGGAAUACCGAUGGCGAAGGCAGCCCCCUGGGCCAAUACUGACGCUCAUGCACGAAAAGCGUGGGGGAGCAAAACAGGAUUAGAUAACCCUGGUAGUCCACGCCCUAAAACGAUGUCAACUAGUUGUUGGGGAUUCAUUUCCUUAGUAACGUAGCUAACGCGUGAAGUUGACCGCCUGGGGAGUACGGUCGC